UACGUAGGUGACCAGCGUUGUCCGGAUUUACUGGGCGUAAAGAGCGCGCAGGCGGUCGUUCAAGUCGAGUGUGAAAGCCCCCGGCUCAACUGGGGAGGGUCAUUCGAUACUGAUCGACUCGAAGGCAGGAGAGGGAAGCGGAAUUCCCGGUGUAGUGGUGAAAUGCGUAGAUAUCGGGAGGAACACCAGUGGCGAAGGCGGCCUUCUGGACAGUGACUGACGCUGAGAUGCGAAAGCGUGGGGAGCAAACAGG
rnacentral:rRNA from 1 species